GAUGAACGCUGGCGGCGUGCCUAAUACAUGCAAGUCGAGCGAACAGACGAGGAGCUUGCUCCUCUGACGUUAGCGGCGGACGGGUGAGUAACACGUGGAUAACCUACCUAUAAGACUGGGAUAACUUCGGGAAACCGGAGCUAAUACCGGAUAAUAUAUUGAACCGCAUGGUUCAAUAGUGAAAGACGGUUUUGCUGUCACUUAUAGAUGGAUCCGCGCCGCAUUAGCUAGUUGGUAAGGUAACGGCUUACCAAGGCAACGAUGCGUAGCCGACCUGAGAGGGUGAUCGGCCACACUGGAACUGAGACACGGUCCAGACGCCUACGGGAGGCAGCAGUAGGGAAUCUGCCGCAAAGGGCGAAAGCAUGACGGAGCAACGCCGCGUGAGUGAUGAAGGUCUUCGGAUCGUAAAACUCUGUUAUUAGGGAAGAACAAAUGUGUAAGUAACUAUGCACGUCUUGACGGUACCUAAUCAGAAAGCCACGGCUAACUACGUG
rnacentral:rRNA from 1 species